rnacentral:lncRNA from 1 species
AGAUUUUAUUUCAAUAGAUGAUGGACCUCCACUGAAAAUUCUGAUUAGGUCAAAUCAUUAACAUGAACCUACUCAAUGAUUCUAACUAAUAAUGAUCAGGUUCGAGGAUGGCUCGAUCAAUCCAACCAUCAUCAGAUAGUACAAUAGAGUCAUUAUAUGAUAAAUGAUAAUUUCAUCAUUUUGAGAGAACACCAGACGGAUGGCGCCU